UCACCCUAACUAAUGGACGAGCAGUUAUUCCUCAUAAUUCAUUCACUGUUUUCUUCUGUCAGUGCCUCGCUAUUUUAUCAGCAGACACAGCGCCACAUGGAGGCAACAAAGCAGCAUCUGGAAGCAACAGGCUGAACAUGUUUAGGUAAAACCCUUAGGUGUCAGCCGCCCACAGCAGAAGUACUGUGGCUGUGGCCACCGGCCACUCCUUCCUAGGCCUGAGCUAUUUCAGGAGGGGGAAGUGAAGUCAAAGACAGAGAGCCAGAGCCAGGUGCUCAAGAUCUAAAAGCCAAGAGAGAAGGGAAGAGAGAUGGAGAGAGAGCGCAUGCUUCAAGUCCUAUUUUUCAAUUGCUAGGGUUUUGGUGCCCUGGGAGAAUGGUUAAUUACAAAGCUGUACUAAAUACUUCUGGAAGUACAGGCCAAAGAGUUACUACUGAGACUGAACAAAGGACAAAAUCCAUCUCAGUCUCUCUCUUGGUUUAUCUCCAUCUCUUUCUCUUCUGUUGCUGUUGUUGGGUGCCGUGGAGUCAAUGCCUACUCUGAGCGACCUCAUGGGACAGAGCAGAACUACCACAUAAGGUUUUCUUGGCUGCAAUUUUUAUGGAAGCAGAUCAUCAGAUAUGUCUUCCGUGGAGCGACUGGAAAUCCUUCAGCGAGGCAAGUCCCUCAUCACACACCAAAACCACGAGGAAACUAGCAGCUGUGGGGGCCUCCCAUACGGCAAUCUGGGAAAGCAGAGUUCCACCCCUGCUUGGGCCUGGCUGAUACCCAGGUAUCCUCUGCAGGGCUGAAGGAGCCAAAGCUGAGGUUCUGCUCAAGUCCACUUCAGUUAAGCCAAGAUGACCCAACUUCCUGUACAAAGGCAAAGAAGUUUUCCUGUAGCUUACCACAGCCCAUGAGAGGAUGAGGCAACUAAGAAACUCAUUCUGAAAUCCAGUAGCAUUAUUUCAUCAGACACUUUGGAAUUUAAAUCAACAAAGAAAUUGAAGACACUUUUCUCAUGUGGAACAGUUCACCUACUUACAGGCCAUUGUGUGGUAAAUGCUGGGCCAGUACUGACCGCUGUCUCUUUUCAGCCAUACUCGGAUGGUUCUGUGGAAGAAACGGAAAGAGUAGUUUUCAGUAAUUUUGCCUCCUUUUAUGCUCCAGGAAAAUUUAUAUUUAUUUAUUUAUUUUUCAAUACUAAUUCUCAGCUGAUCUUAAAAUCAACUGGACAGUAUCUUCAAAGACACCACAUGAACUAGACAUUCUGGCUUGUAAAGCAAUUGUGAGAGAAAAUCCAUUUGAAAGUUGCCUCCCUCUCUCAUAAAGUGUUGUUGGAAUACAAAAUAAUGCAACUUUUCUCAACAGCAAACUAAUAAUAUAUAUCAAAGUUAUUUAUACAUAUUCAUAUUACAUCAUAUACUUAAUAUAUGAUAUUUGCCCAGUAGUCCUCCUUUUAGGGAUAUACACCAAGGAAACAAUCAAAGAUUUAUACAUAAGAAAGUUCAUUAUAAAGUUAGUUUAAUACCAAAACCAUGUAAGUACCACAAAUGUUUCAACCUAUGUUAUGACCAUAUAUGGUCGAUUAUGCAGUAACUGUAAUUUACGAUUUCAAGUAAUUUUUAAUAACACGGAAAAUGCUCAUUCUAUACUAGUGUGUAAAGGAAACUAAGAUUAACCGCUUUUCUUGGUAAAAAUAAAUUGGGUGAACUUUGUGGCUUGGGUAUCUGAGCCAAAUGAGGAACAUAGAAGAUACAAACGGAAAGAAAACGCUUCUUGAGAACUAGGAGUUAGAAAGAAGAACAAUGCUGAUACAAAGCACAGUCCACUCCAUUUCUCAUUCAAUGAUAAUUCUCGGUCUUCACAACCCCAGGGAGGAAAUCAUUCCACACCUCUCGGGGCUUCUACUUUCAUCAGAACAUACACAGGGAGAUGAGGAAAUCCUGCCCAUAUGCAGGAAAAUGACAAAUGACUAAAAUAGCCAAAGUUUAAUGUUUUGCUUUAUUACCUCAGAGAAACAAUAAGGACCACUAUGAUCCUCUCACCUACACUCACGAAGCCUUCUCUAAGGUCCGGGCCUCUUCCUCUUCUAAAUCCCCUUCUGGCACUCACUGUGGCCUGCCAUGUAUGAUCACUGAUACCUGGCUUAUCAUCCCCAAGGGUCAGCUCUGUCACAGUCAUUUCUGUAUUUCUAACAACAGCAAAGAUCUGUCAAGAUUAUUUCUGUAUUUCUAACAAUAGCAAAGAUUCUGGCACACAGUAGCUGCUAAAUAAAUAUUUACAACCUUAAACUAAAAUACAUUAAGACUAGCAUAUUAAUGGUGAAAGAAUUAUUUGGAAAAAGGACAGUGAGAAUGGUUGCACAACUUGAUGCAUGUAGUCAAUGUCACUGAAUUGUACAUGUAGAAAUUGUUGCACUGGUGUGUUUUGCUGUGCAUAUUUUCAUCAAAAAAAUUAAUUAUAAAAAUUUUAGAACAAAAAAAUACAUUAAGCCUAAAUGUUGACACUGUAUGUUUCCUUUUUUUUUUUUUUUUUAAGUUUAAGACAAGUAAAACUGGUUUAUGGGGACAGAAAUCCGAAUGGGGAUGCCUCUGGGGGAGAAGGAGGAAAGAAUGCAAAGGUCUAUGAGGGAAUUCUCCAGAGAAAGGGCAGGGCUCUAUAGAGUUGGACACAUGGGUGUAAGCAUUUGUCAGGACUCAUCCAACUAUGCACUUAAGAUCUGUACAGCUCACUGUAUAUGACUGUUGUUGUUAGGUACCAUGGAGUCAGUUCCAACUCAUUGCGACCCUAUGUACAACAGAACAAAACACUGCCCCACCCUGUACCAUCCUCACUAUCGUUGUUAUUUUAGCCCACUGUUGCAGCCACUGUGUCAACCCAUCUUGUUGAAGGUCCUCCUCUUUUCUGCUGACCCUCUACUUUACCAAGCAUGACGUCAUUCUUCAGGGACUAAUCCCUCCUGAUAACAUGUUCAAAGUACUUGAGACGAAGUCUCACCAUUCUCGCUUCUGAGAAGCACUCUGGCUCUACUUCUCCCAGGACAUAUUUAUUCCUUCUUCUAGCAGUCCACGGUAUGUUCAAUACUCUUCGCCAAUACCAUAUAUGUGAUUAGACCACAUCACAUAAUGUGAUGAGACCACAGUCAAAAGCAAAUAGAGACUAGAUGUUGACUUCAAUUCAUCCAAAAUAAAUAAAGAAGAUGAGCUAGCACCACAAUGAGCACAAUGUGAUUUUGUAUGUGAACUGGACACAAGCCAGUUAGGAGCAGCUGUUGUAUACAACAUGCCCUGUCUUCUGGUCACUAUUGGAAAUCCCUCUCAUAUCUUUUUCAAGCCAUACCCUUCUCCUUCCUUAGAUAGUGCUACAAUCUCCCACUUUCAAAAUUAAAUCAAACCAAUGUUAAGUUUAACCCCUAACACUCCAGCACUCCCAAGAACCUAUGGAUUAAACAGAGUUGUAUAAUUUCUGCUAGUAAUACUGAAACUAUUUUGUGUUACGUUCAGAACAUUUCUCGUUAGUUUAAGAAACAGUUGUAAAAAUAGAUUUGACUUGGGCUGCUAAUUACAAAAUCAACAAAUUCUACAGAUAAAAAAACCCCUACUAUUCAGUAAAUUGGAAGCCAAAUCUACUAUUCAGUAAAUUGAAAGCGAACAUAAUAAUACAGUACAGUUAGUAACAUUUACAGAAGCGAACUAUUGAAUAAUCCAAGAUGACAUUAAUGAACCCUCUAACUGCUAAAGUGUCGAGAUCAGAUGGUUUUAUUUUUACAUAAAUCACAAUAUUUUCUGCCUAGAUGAAUGUCUGAGCUGCUCUCUCCAUUGAUAUAAAACAGCUUAGAUUCUCUAAUACUUAACUUUACACCUACUCACCUAAACUCAUUUUAUGUUUUUCUUGCUGCUUAUUCUCCCCAUUUUUCAAACAGAUGGAUUUUUUAAAAAAUUCGGAGACCAUGUCAAUCUGAAAAAAAUAUCUUUCCUUAAAACUAAGACCUUAGAAAUAUGUUCAUUCCUUGCCAAGCUCUAUUUUUAGAAGUUACUUAAAAACAAUAAUCUGGUAUUAUUCCAAAAGGUACUUAGAAAGGAAAUAUGUUGUUUCUCUCAGAGCCUACGUAAGUGUUUUUUAAACUUCCCUAUUCUAUUUUUUCUAAUUCUAUUAUCCUGUGGAGAACCUCAACCAUCAAUCUCUUUUGCCUUCCUAAUUAGAGAAGCACUGACUUACAUAUAGCUAAGACAUCCUCUGUGGGCAGAUCAGGAAAGGUAUCUCCACAUGAAACUAUGUAUAUUGUUAUGUAUUCGUAGCUAGAUUGCAUGCAUGCCACUACCAUCAUCUUAUUUAUCAUUUUUCAGCAUGCUAGGUAAUCUAUUUAUUUUCUCAAUAAAUGAUAUUUUUAAAACCCAAACCAAACCUGUUGCCAUCCAGUCAAUUCCGGACUCAUAGCAACCCUACAGGACAGAGAAGAACUGCCCCACAGGGUUUCCAAGAAGCACCUGGUAGAUUUGAACUGCCGACCUUUUGGUUAGCAGCUGUAGCACUUAACCACUACGCCACCAGGUUUUCCAUAAUAUACUAAAGCUGGGUGGUAUUUUUUGAUUUUUAACUAGUUCAGAUUGGAAUUUUUAAAAAGUGGAUUGUUGUUUAGGGAUAAUCAAAGAAACAAAACAGCAAUGAAAUGCCACUGCUAGGGCCCUCAUUAUUGGCACUGUAUAUUAGAACUAACAACUCAGGCAAGUAUAACACAAAUAAUGUGUUCUGUCAUAUGUUUUUUCCAACCUUGCAACCCUCCCUGCUAUUUUCAUAAACGAAUUAUAAAAACCCUUUGCCAUCAAGUCGAUUCUGACUCACAGCGACCCUAUAGGGCAGAGUAGCACUGCCUCAGAGAUUCCAGGGAGCGCCUGGUGAACUGGAACUGCCAACCUUUUGGUCAGCAGCCAUAGCACUUAACCACUACGCCAUCAGGGUUUCCUAAAUGAGUUAUGCUGCACAUUAUAUCAUGGGCGCACUAUUUACAUGGCCCCAUUAUUUGCAAAAAAAUAUAAUAGUGAGGACCAGCCCCCUCACUGUGGUCAGAGUAAUAAUAAUAAUGAUGAUGACAACAAUAACAACGAUAAACUUUGACUCAGACACUCCAGUCUUGGCAUUUGAUUCUGAAGAAAUUAUUUAGAGAGAAAAAAAAAUUGCAUGUUAAAAAAAGCUCAUAAGACCAUUGUUCAAAGGAGUAAAAAUCGGAAGAAAAUGUUAAAUAAUGAAAUGAGUUACUGAUACAUUGAUUCAAUAGCUUUUGCAGUCAUUUAAAAAUAGGAAUAAAGACCACAGGGCCAUGAAAAAAUGUUUAUGUUGUUAAAAAAAAAAGCAUAAUGCAAAAUUAUAUAACUAACUACCCUGUAUAAAUCUGGACAGAGUGGGUGAAAAGGCAGAUAAGGAGCUGGCAGACACUGAGGGGGAAGAACACACCUGUGAGAAAAACAAAGACUUUGGCUCCUUGUGAGGGGCCCCAGAGAAAAAAUGCUGAACGUGGAGAAUCAGGAGAACAGCAGGGUGAACCGUCUUCCCCAUCAGUAAGCACACUAAUAAUAACAAAAAAAUAACAAGCCAACAUUAAACACCCUCCUUGUAACUGAGGCACUUAAGGACUUAUUUGGUCUAAUGUUCGAGUGUAGCUGUCUAAAAUUCAAAGUGUAAAAAUUUCCCACUCCCUAACCAGUGUCCAUUUAAUCCUCGCUACUGAAAGAAAGAAAACAAGUCUGAGUGGUAAACCAGGAGUCAAGUCUCUAAUGCUUGUGUAACCGGAGAUGCUGGAAUCAGGGGCUAUUUCAAAAGCAGUGGAGCCGUUUCUUCCUUGUUUUAAUAAGGUGGGCCCUACGUGCCUCACUGAGGACACUCACUCUGUGAUCUGCGCUGCCCGUCAAUGUGAACUCGUGCCUAGGUUCAGGCUUGUUCUAACCCAAGAUGAGUCUAGUAGGGGAUCUGAUGCAUCCACAGAGGUCCAUAUAGAGGGAUAAAAAAGCCCUGGUACCGAGUAGCAGAAAUGGACCUAGACACGUUCUCAACAGCUAGUGGUGCCAAGGUGGACAGGGAGGGGUGGGGACACAGAAGGAGAGGCCAUGAGGAUACCACUCCCAAAGGAGCAAUGAGUAGAGGACCAGGUGGGCAGAGCAGAAAGACAGGAGAAGGACAGGGGAAGAGAGAGAGAAGACACUUCCAGAAGGCCCAGGACUCUCUGGCCUGGAAAGAUAAAGGCAAUGAACUGUGCCUCUUCAUAAACAUGGAUCAUCCCAGCUCCACAUUGUAAGUUCACAGUGGUAAACUGGUGGCACAGACAAUGCUACUUCUGGCAUUCUAAACACACAUCAGGAUUCAAGAAAAGCUUGUGAUCUGUUGAGAACAUGAUGCUACAUCCUGUGAGGUAGCAAAGAUAACAGACAUGACCUUCAUUUUAUAUUUAAGGAGGCAGAAGCUAACAGGGAGAAAAUUCUAACAUUAUACAAAUCAACAUCAGCACUGACUCAGGUUUUCUGACUGUUUAGUUGUCUCAUCCAGCAUCAUGAAAAUUCAAUUUUAGAAUAUUGCUGUGAUCGUUAAGGCUGUAUGUCAACUUGGCUGGGCCAUGAUUCUCAGUGGUUUGGCAGUUAUGAUGUAGUUUGGCAGUUGUGUAAUGAUGUAAUCACCUCCAUGAUGAGAUGUGAUAUAAUGUGAUCACCUCCACGACGGUAUCUGCUGUGAGUAGCCAGUCAGUUGAAAGGGAGUUUCCUUGGGGGUGUGGCCUGUAUCCAAUACAGGUGGAUUUUCUGGCAAGGAUUGAGGGCUUUUGCUUGCUCUGGAUUCUGCAGCUGGCUGGCUCCUGUUUGUCUGACUUCCAGUUCUUGGGACUUGAGCUAGUAGCUUACCUGCCAUCUUGCCUGCUGAUCUUGGGAUUUGUUGGUCUGUAUAGCCUGUGAGCUAGAGGCCAGCCCAAGCCUCCAGCCUGGCCUGACCGAGGGAUGCCGGACUUUUCAGCCUCUACAUUGUGGGUAGCAGGUCAGCAAAAAGAGGAAGACCCUCAACAAGAUGGACUGACGCGGUGGCUGCAACAACAGACUUAAGCGUAACAACAAUUGUUGAGGGUGGCGCAGAACUGGGCAGUAGUUUGUUCUCUCAUACAUGGGACCACUAUGAGUAGAAGCGACCUGGCCUAAGACAAUUACCAAGGUAAAUAAUUCAAAGCAAAGUAGGCUUAUGUGGUAAGGAAUAUGCAGAACAUUAAAAAAUAAAAAUAAAAAAGGCUUUUCAGAAAACUCUGUAUUUAAUUCUUCCAAGCAGUAACUCCUAAACAAUAAAGAAAUAUGAAGCAUUAAACUACCCACCCCCCCAACAAAUAAAUCCAGAGUAUGGUAAAGUCUAGGUCUAACUUCAAAGCUCUCACAAAGUUAAAAGAAAUUCUGAUAUCUGUACUAAACAGAAACAGUGAUUCUAACAAAAUCUCCUCUGCCUCAAGGUCUAGACUCAGGUGAGUCUAAGUACAAUGUGGAAUCUAAGUUUUUGUGGUAAAUGAAAUUUAAAAUAUACCCAAUUCUUUACCCCUCCCUGUAUCCAUGCCCUUUACGAUGUGAUGCUGCAGCUCCUCCCAUUAAGUGGUGUAAUCCAUUUCUCCACCUGUCUAAUAUGAGGUGGCUUAUGGCUUGCUUUGGCCAAUAUAACACAGCAGAAGUGAGAGAGUGCCAGCCCUGAGACUAGGCCUCAAGAGACCUUGCCUGUUUUCACUUCCUCUCUUGGACGCUUGCCUAGGUUAUAUGAACAAGCCCGGGCUAGCCUGCUGGAGGAUAAGAUCACAUGGAGGAGGGCCUAGUUGUCCCAGCUAAAGCCACCCUCGAUCAGCCUGCAGUUUGCUAAGCCAAAACCAAACCAAGUCAGUUGCCAUCAAUUCAGCUCUGACUCUUGGUGACCCCAUGUGUGUCAGAGUAGAACUGUGCUCCAUAGAGUAUUCCAAGGCUGAUUUUCCAGAAGCAGACAGCCAGGCCUUUCUCCUAAGGUACCUCUGAGUGGACUUGCGCCACCAACCUUUUGGUUAGCAGCCCAGAGGGUUAAUCAUUUGUACCACCCAGGGACUCCACAGCUAGCUAACCCCCAAAUAUGUAAGAGACCAGCUAAGAUCAGCAGAGUUGACCCACAGCUGACCACAGAUGUCUGAGUGCGCCUAGUAGAGACAAGAACAGACUGUCCAGGUGACCUGUAGGCUCAUGAGGAAUAAUAAAUACUUAUAUUUGUUGAGUUUUGUUUUUUUUUUUUAAGUCACUGAGGUUUGAGAUAGUUUGUUACAAGAGAACAGAUAACUAAUACAAUGCUCUAUUCCAAAUAAAUAGUAUACCUUUAAGAAUA